rnacentral:tRNA from 1 species
GCGUUUGUAGUCCAACGGUUAGGAAAAUUGCCUUCCAAGCUAUUGACCCUGGUUCGACUUCCGACAGACGCA